rnacentral:rRNA from 1 species
CCUACGGGAGGCAGCAGUGAGGAAUAUUGGUCAAUGGGCGGGAGCCUGAACCAGCCAAGCCGCGUGAGGGAAGAAGGUACAGCGUAUCGUAAACCUCUUUUGUCAGGGAACAAAGGCGGGGACUAGUCCCCGGAUGAGGGUACCUGAAGAAAAAGCAUCGGCUAACUCCGUGCCAGCAGCCGCGGUAAUACGGAGGAUGCGAGCGUUAUCCGGAUUUAUUGGGUUAAAAGGGUGCGCAGGCGGUCUGUUAAGUCAGCGGUCAAAGCCCGGGGCUCAACCCCGGCCCGCCGUUGAAACUGGCAGUCUCGAGUUGGAGAGAAGUAUGCGGAAUGCGCGGUGUAGCGGUGAAAUGCAUAGAUAUCGCGCAGAACUCCGAUUGCGAAGGCAGCAUGCCGGCUCCACACUGACGCUGAGGCACGAAAGCGUGGGUAUCGAACAGGAUUAGAUACCCCGGUAGUC